GCCUGGGGACGUGGACCUGGCCGAGGGAAGGGAGAGGGUACCGGUCCUUGGUGUAAUCACGUUUUACUCUGCUGGGAAGGCGUGUUCAUCUUCCCACCGAAACGCGCCAUAGACUGGAUCAGGCGUUUUUUGCUCAUCAUCGUUUCAAAAAACGUUUACUGAAGGAAAGAAAGGAAGAAGGCAGGAGGAGCGAUAAAGAGAUAGCAAGAGAAAGAGGAUGGAAAGUGGGGAAAAUGAAUAGAUUUCUAAAGGUUGGGAAAGCCUUUUAGCAGGGAGAUGUUUUCCUGGAGGUCUUGGAACUCUCUUGGUCUCACAGCCUCUGUAAACCGAGGGCUGCACACCUGUCUCUAGUCCCCAGCUGAUUUCCAGAGGCCCUUCCAGCUCCUGUGUUGAUUCUUCUGCCUCGACUCACUUCUAGCAGACAAGUACCAUCCAGCUGACCCUGGUAGGCACGUGGCCACAUAAUACGGAUUGCACGAGGGAAAUAAGAUGUUCCCCCUUUCUCCUUCUGAUAUGAGAAGAUACUUGUUAGCCCUCAAGCUGCUCAGAUGAGGGACUUUCCUGCCGAGAACCAACGUGAAGAGUGCAGCUUCUAUAAAGGAUUUCACUGGAUUUUUGUACUAAUGAACAAAUUUUAUUUGGAUGAGUAGAUAUUUAAUGUGCUGUUAUUACCACUGGAGUUAAAAGUAUAUUAUAAAUUCUUAUGUCUUUAAAACUAGAGAGAGGAUUCUGGGAAGAUGGCAGAGUAGAAAGCACCAGGAAUCCGACUUCCCACCUAAACAACUGUUCUAGCA
rnacentral:lncRNA from 1 species